rnacentral:tRNA from 1 species
AGGGUAAUAGCUCAGUGGUAGGGUGCAUGCUUAGCAUGCAUGAGGUCCUGGGUUCAAUCCUCAGUACCUCCA